rnacentral:lncRNA from 1 species
UUGGUUUUAUACCCUCCACUUUAAUUAAACUAUAGUAACUCAAAAACACAAGAUUUGUAGAUAAUAAUAAUACAUUGAUGUUCUAAAACAAAGUCUUGUUUAGUAGAUAUUCAUUCCCUUCUUUUCCUUCAUUCUUUGCAUCAAAAGUUAACUUCCAACUUUCAAGAAACUUGUUUCAUUUGCAAGGAAUCUUGUUAUUUGCCUAAAAUCCUUCAAAGAUUUCACCUUUUCAUGCUCUUUCUUUCUGGGUCAUCUUUAUUUCAACUAAUUGAAGAAUACCCAAUUCUCUUUUAGGGUUUUAAUAUCAAAUUUGAGUAAUCUUGAUUGGUAAAGUUCCUUGCUUGAUGGGCUAUGAUUAGUUCAUCUUUAUUUGCCUUAAAUCCUUCAAAGAUUUCACCUUUUCAUGAUCUUUCUUUCUGGGUCAUCUUUAUUUCAACAAUUGAACAAUACCCAAUUCAUGUUUAGGGCUUUAACAUCAAAUUAGGGUAAUCUUGAUUGGUAAAGUUUGUUGCUUGAUAUGUAUUUUUUCAGAUGAUUGAUUAGUUGAUGAAGGGUAUUUUCAUGAGGGUUUUGUUCUGCAAGAUCCACUGUCCUUCAUUCAUAUGUUUCUGCAAACCAUCAACUGCUUCUCAUCUUUACAAUUCCAACACUUUGAAAUUAGAAAAUUCCCAUCAUGCCCCUCAAACAUCA